UGUGUAGGAUAGGUGGGAGGCUUUGAAGUGUGGACGCCAGUCUGCAUGGAGCCGACCUUGAAAUACCACCCUUUAAUGUUUGAUGUUCUAACGUUGACCCGUGAUCCGGGUUGCGGACAGUGUCUGGUGGGUAGUUUGACUGGGGCGGUCUCCUCCUAAAGAGUAACGGAGGAGCACGAAGGUUGGCUAAUCCUGGUCGGACAUCAGGAGGUUAGUGCAAUGGCAUAAGCCAGCUUGACUGCGAGCGUGACGGCGCGAGCAGGUGCGAAAGCAGGUCAUAGUGAUCCGGUGGUUCUGAAUGGAAGGGCCAUCGCUCAACGGAUAAAAGGUACUCCGGGGAUAACAGGCUGAUACCGCCCAAGAGUUCAUAUCGACGGCGGUGUUUGGCACCUCGAUGUCGGCUCAUCACAUCCUGGGGCUGAAGUAGGUCCCAAGGGUAUGGCUGUUCGCCAUUUAAAGUGGUACGCGAGCUGGGUUUAGAACGUCGUGAGACAGUUCGGUCCCUAUCUGCCGUGGGCGCUGGAGAACUGAGGGGGGCUGCUCCUAGUACGAGAGGACCGGAGUGGACGCAUCACUGGUGUUCGGGUUGUCAUGCCAAUGGCACUGCCCGGUAGCUAAAUGCGGAAGAGAUAAGUGCUGAAAGCAUCUAAGCACGAAACUUGCCCCGAGAUGAGUUCUCCCUGACUCCUUGAGAGUCCUGAAGGAACGUUGAAGACGACGACGUUGAUAGGCCGGGUGUGUAAGCGCAGCGAUGCGUUGAGCUAACCGGUACUAAUGAACCGUGAGGCUUAACCUUACAACGCCGAAGGUGUUU
rnacentral:rRNA from 1 species